GAACCUGUCGAUGCUAAUACAUGCNAGUCGAGCGAACAGACGAGGAGCUUGCUCCUUUGACGUUAGCGGCGGACGGGUGAGUAACACGUGGGUAACCUACCUAUAAGACUGGGAUAACUUCGGGAAACCGGAGCUAAUACCGGAUAAUAUUUCGAACCGCAUGGUUCGAUAGUGAAAGAUGGCUCUGCUAUCACUUAUAGAUGGACCUGCGCCGUAUUAGCUAGUUGGUAAGGUAACGGCUUACCAAGGCAACGAUACGUAGCCGACCUGAGAGGGUGAUCGGCCACACUGGAACUGAGACACGGUCCAGACUCCUACGGGAGGCAGCAGUAGGGAAUCUUCCGCAAUGGGCGAAAGCCUGACGGAGCAACGCCGCGUGAGUGAUGAAGGUCUUCGGAUCGUAAAACUCUGUUAUUAGGGAAGAACAAACGUGUAAGUAACUGUGCACGUCUUGACGGUACCUAAUCAGAAAGCCACGGCUAACUACGUGCCAGCAGCCGCGGUAAUACGUAGGUGGCAAGCGUUAUCCGGAAUUAUUGGGCGUAAAGCGCGCGUAGGCGGUUUUUUAAGUCUGAUGUGAAAGCCCACGGCUCAACCGUGGAGGGUCAUUGGAAACUGGAAAACUUGAGUGCAGAAGAGGAAAGUGGAAUUCCAUGUGUAGCGGUGAAAUGCGCAGAGAUAUGGAGGAACACCAGUGGCGAAGGCGACUUUCUGGUCUGUAACUGACGCUGAUGUGCGAAGCGUGGGGAUCAAACAGGAUUAGAUACCCCC
rnacentral:rRNA from 1 species